UACGUAGGGUCCGAGCGUUGUCCGGAGUGACUGGGCGUAAAGCGCGCGCAGGCGGCCCGCGAGGUGUCCUGUGAAAGCCCCGUGCUCAACGCGGGAGGGUCAGGGCGAACCGGCGGGCUUGAGGCCGGUAGAGGUGGGUGGAACUCCUGGUGGAGUGGUGAAAUGCGUAGAGAUCAGGAAGAACACCCGUGGCGAAGGCGGCCCACUGGGCCGGACCUGACGCUGAGGCGCGAAGGCGUGGGGAGCGAACGGG
rnacentral:rRNA from 1 species